rnacentral:ncRNA from 2 species
AUGAAUCGAUAGUACAAAUGCAUGAAAAUCGGAUGAUUUUCGGAACGUGCGGUGAGAUUCCGCAACAGACUUUAUCCCUACUGUAAUCAGGACGAAAACUGCGAAUCCAUUGGAAGAAAUUUCUUCUGAGAAGGGCAGCAAGUAGGUUAGAACUGCGAGUCAGGAUACAGGCAUUUGGAGAUUAAAACGC